rnacentral:rRNA from 1 species
AAAACUGAGGUGGUAUACGAUGGUUCCGCGUCUGAUUAGCUAGUUGGUGGGGUAAAAGCCUACCAAGGCAACGAUCAGUAGCCGGCCUGAGAGGGUGAACGGCCACAUUGGGACUGAGACACGGCCCAAACUCCUACGGGAGGCAGCAGUGGGGAAUAUUGCACAAUGGGGGAAACCCUGAUGCAGCGACGCCGCGUGAGUGAAGAAGUAUUUCGGUAUGUAAAGCUCUAUCAGCAGGGAAGAAAUACUGACCAUAGGGUCAGCAGACGGUACUUGACUAAGAAGCCCCGGCUAACUACGUGCCAGCAGCCGCGGUAAUACGUAGGGGGCAAGCGUUAUCCGGAUUUACUGGGUGUAAAGGGAGCGUAGACGGCAGCGCAAGUCUGAAGUGAAAUGCCAGGGCUUAACCCUGGAACUGCUUUGGAAACUGUGCAGCUAGAGUGCAGGAGAGGUAAGUGGAAUUUCUAGUGUAGCGGUGAAAUGCGUAGAUAUUAGGAGGAACACCAGUGGCGAAGGCGGCUUACUGGACUGUAACUGACGUUGAGGCUCGAAAGCGUGGGGAGCAAACAGGAUUAGAUACCCUGGUAGUCCACGCUGUAAACGAU